rnacentral:lncRNA from 1 species
UAUUUACUAUGUUGUCCUAAUUUUUACCAAUCUCCAAAGCAAUAUUUUGCCCCCGCAUCCACCUUGAUGUCUGCACAUUUUAUAAAUCAUUGUUGCAGUAAAACACAUUGUGGGGCUGAGCAUUAAUUAUUCAACGACCCACGCUACUUUCGAGUCAAAGACUAGGUAUUGAACUGAAAUGUAAGGUCUCGUGGAUGGCUAAACCCUAUAAAGCUAGAGGGCCACAACUUAUCUCCUGCAACUGGACUACUUAAAAGUCCCCAAGACGACAAAGAAGAAAAGUCUCCGAUGAGUAAAGUGUGAUGCGAAAAAUGACACAUCGCAUCUGAAUGCAAUAAAAAAAAUGAGGUGGAAAAAUUGUCCCCCAUAUGAGUUCGAAUUCUUACAUGAUUCUAUCGAUCAGUUUUUUUUUUGGUUUUUCGAAAAGUCUAAGUGGGAUUUUGUUGGUCCAAAUCCAACAGUUUCUAUAGAUUGGAUCUGGUAACUUCUGAACCCGUUCAACUCAUUCUUAGAUUAAAAUCUCAUUCAAUUAGAGCGAUGAUAUUUGAUCUUUUUUUCUUUUUCAUCUCAUCAAUCACCAUUAAUCAAUGUUCACUUUGUCCCAGUAAAAAAAUAACUUAAGAAGAUAUAUAAAAUAACUUAAGAAGAUAUAUAAUUUUUAAGUACGCCCAAAUGAUAAGUAAAUCAAUUUUUAAUAAUCAAUUCAUAUUAUAUUCCUGUUAAUUAAUUGAUGUAUUUUAAGCUACUAAAAUUUAAUUGCUAGCAUAAUAAAAUAAAUGAAUGUUUCAAAAGAUUUAUAAUUAAUUAUUAUUCAUGGUUACAUAUUGUUGGAUUUCAAUAAAAAGAGGAAGAGACAUUAAAAUUAUUAAAAUUAAACUUAGGCCCUAGUGGCAUUAUUGAGGGAAGAUGAAAGAACCUCUCUUCCUAUGUUAAUUAAUUGAUGUAUUUUAAGCAACUAAAGUUUAAUUGCUAGCAUAAAAAAUAAAUGAAUGUUUCAAAAGACUUAUAAUUAAUUGUUAUUCAUGGUUACAUAUUGUUGGAUUUAAAUAGAAAGAGAAAGAAAUAAUGAUGCCACAAAUCUUAAAUAUUUAAUGUUUAUAGAGUUUGAAGAAUCCAAAAGGCACUAAACAAAAGAUUGAAUAAUUAAAUAUGGGAUUAUGACAUUAAAAUUGGGCUCUAAUGGCAUUGUUGAGGGAAGAUGAAGGAAUCUUCCUUCCUAUAUUAAUUAAUUGAUGUAUUUUAAGCCAUUAAAAUUUAAUUGUUGGCAUAAUAAAACAAAUAAAUGUUUCAAGACUUAUAAUUAAUUAUUAUUAAUGGUUACAUAUUGUUGAAUUUAAAUAGAAAGAGGAAAAGACAUAUAAUCAUUUA